rnacentral:rRNA from 1 species
CGGGGUGAGUAACGCGUGGGUAACCUGCCUCAUACAGGGGGAUAACGAUUGGAAACGAUUGCUAAUACCGCAUAAGCGCACAGUACCACAUGGUGCAGUGUGAAAAACUCCGGUGGUAUGAGAUGGACCCGCGUCUGAUUAGCUAGUUGGUGAGGUAACGGCCCACCAAGGCGACGAUCAGUAGCCGACCUGAGAGGGUGACCGGCCACAUUGGGACUGAGACACGGCCCAA